rnacentral:rRNA from 1 species
AACUUACCAGGUCAAGACAUGGGCGUGAUUGACAGGCUAAUGACUUUUCUCGAUUCCAUGGAUGGUGGUGCAUGGUCGCACUUAGUUGGUGCAGUGAUUUGUCAGGUUUAUUCCGGUAACGAACGAGACCUCGGCCUUGUAAAUAGCUAUGCUGCUUACGGGGACAUUGGCGGCUACGCCAAGGAAGCUCGAGGCAAUUGCAGAUCUGGAAUGCCCUUAGAUGUCCUGGGUCGCACGCGUGCUACAAUGACGCCACGAACGAGCUUGCGUGAUGAAAGUUACGCAUAAUCAGCAGUCGGCGUCUUAAGGGAUAGUCUCUUGUAACUGUGGGACUCCAACUAGGAAUGUCUCGUAAGCACAAGUCAACAUCUUGUGUUGAUUACGUCCCUGCUCUUUGUACACACCGCCCGUCGCUCCUACCGAUCGAGUGUUUAGGUGAACUUGAUCGACGUAAGGAAGUCAAAUAAACCUGAGCACUAGAGGAAGAGAAGUCGAUCAUU